rnacentral:rRNA from 1 species
GAUGAACGCUGGCGGCGUGCCUAACACAUGCAAGUCGAGCGGCAGCGAGGGGUGCUUGCACCCUGUCGGCGAGCGGCGGACGGCUGAGUAACGCGUGGGAACGUGCCCCAAAGUGAGGAAUAACUGCCCGAAAGGGUAGCUAAUACCGCAUAUUAUCUUCGGAUCAAAGGAUUUAUCCGCUUUGGGAGCGGCUCGCGUCGGAUUAGGUAGUUGGUGAGGUAAUGGCUCACCAAGCCGACGAUCCGUAGCUGGUCUGAGAGGAUGACCAGCCAGACUGGAACUGAGACACGGUCCAGACUCCUACGGGAGGCAGCAGUGAGGAAUCUUCCACAAUGGGCGAAAGCCUGAUGGAGCAACGCCGCGUGCAGGACGAAGGCCUUCGGGUUGUAAACUGCUUUUAUAAGUGAGGAAUAUGACGGUAACUUAUGAAUAAGGUUCGGCUAACUACGUG